rnacentral:rRNA from 1 species
UACGGAGGGGGCUAGCGUUGUUCGGAAUUACUGGGCGUAAAGCGCGCGUAGGCGGCUUUGUAAGUUAGAGGUGAAAGCCCGGAGCUCAACUCCGGAACUGCCUUUAAGACUGCAUCGCUAGAACGAUGGAGAGGUAAGUGGAAUUCCGAGUGUAGAGGUGAAAUUCGUAGAUAUUCGGAAGAACACCAGUGGCGAAGGCGACCCACUGGCCCGUUACUGACGCUGAGGCGCGAAGGCGUGGGGAGCAAACAGG